rnacentral:rRNA from 1 species
UACGUAGGGGGCAAGGCGUUGUCCGGAAUCAUUGGGCGUAAAGCGCGUGUAGGCGGCUCGAUAAGUCCGCUCUGAAAGCCCGGGGCUCAACCCCGGGAGGCGGGUGGAUACUGUCGAGCUCGAGUCCGGAAGAGGAGUGUGGAAUUCCUGGUGUAGCGGUGAAAUGCGCAGAUAUCAGGAGGAACACCAAUGGCGAAGGCAGCACUCUGGGACGUGACUGACGCUGAGACGCGAAAGCGUGGGGAGCAAACAGG